AUAUCCCCCACCUUCUCACCCUCCUCAUCACGCACUCCUCCCUUCCCUAGCUCUGCGACACCCUCUACUCCCUCUCGCCUCAUCCUGCGCAUUUCGUCCUUCUCGGUUCCCCUCUCUCGCACUCACACUUCUCUAAUUUCUCUUUCUUUCUCGCACUUUAUCUCUUUCGCACCGAUUCUCCCACUCUUUCCUUAGCCCGCAAGGAACGAAUCGCCUGACUUCUUUCUCUCUUCUACUAACCAUCGUCUUCUCUUUCUAUCUUCCUCGAAACCUACACGAACGCAAUCUCUCUCAAUUCGUCUUCCUCUUUCUUGCUCCUCACCCUCGAUCACCCUCCAAAAAGGGCACUUAUUUUCGCCCCUUUGUUCUCACGGUUGUGACCAACUUCUCCUUCUCUCUACCUUUCCUUAAACCUACCAUCUCCCCUUGCCUAUACGCCCUCGUUCCUCGGGCUUCUUUCUCGAACACACCCUCUCCCUCUCUACCUCCUAGCUACUUCUUACGUCGUGUUACUGCGCACUCGUUCUGGCAAAGUCGCCACGAGCUCGUGAAACUACUCGCAAAGUUGUUACCCAUUGACGACGUCAUGUGCGGUUCCAGCGGUUGCGACAGUCGCUUAUCGCUUGUCGUAUUAUUUUGAUAAAGGAAAAUGCGGGUUAAAGGGGCACCGAGUUUCUGUUCAAGUUUUUAAAAUAGAGCCACACGGAUUAUGUUACGGACUCGCAACGUGAUAUCUCAUUCAUCUUUCUUUUGUUAUUUUUUCGUUUCCAUUUGUUGUUAAUGUGAUUUUAAAUGUUAAAGAAAAAAAAAGAGAUUAAAGCUAUAUGGGAUGAUCGAGUAGUAAAAUACCAAGGGUUGGGCAUAGGGAGCUUGGAAAGAAACUCACGAAUGUAAUAAGACGGCUGUGGAGGAGAUGCGUUGCGAGUUACACACGCAACCACGAUUUGCGUCUGCGCACUUUUUUCUGUACAGACUCGCCAAGUAGUAGUGAAUGAUAGAAAGAGACAAACGCUCUCCGCCACGAGGCUGUUUCUCAACUUCUGAGCUGCAAAUGUACAAGUACCAACCACAUUUGCGUAUCCUGGUAGUAGUUUGUCGCUGGUUCAGCUUCCGCUUCGUACCUCGAGGCUUGUUGCGUAUCCGUGGACAAGAAUCCGAGUGUCGUCACGUUGCUAUGGAAAUAAAUGCACCUUCGUCUGA